AGCAAGAACGAAUAAGUUUAUUAGUAUUAAUAACUUGUUCGUUACCGACCGUCCCUAGAGCAAGUGGCAAAAGGCUUGGUGGUUGGUAUCCGAGGUCCCAAAGUUCGAAUCCUAGUUGAUUCACAUUUGUAGCUAAGUUUAUUUCUAAAUGAAAUAAACGAAGCGGGUAGCGUGCUACCUAUCCUUCAAAAAAAAAAAGAAAAAUAACUUGUUCGUUCUAAUCUAGGCUGGAAUACUAUCGAUAGCAUCAAGGGUUUGGUACUAUUAAUUUUUUAACCAUUGGAUUGAGAAAUGUACGAUUAGGAUGAUAUGGGCUCUCUAGGAUUGAGCGGGUGGUUGGUUUAAUAGUAUAAUCUAAUGGGUAAAAAUAAUCAAAGGGUUAAAUCUAACGGUGGAAAAUUCGAUAGCACCAAACCCUUGUGCUAUUGAUAGUAUCUCAGCCGGACUUUUUUUUAUUAAUCGAAUUAAAUCUAAUGGUAGAAAAUUCAAUAGCACCAAAUCUAUCUAUAGUAUCCCAGCCGGACUCAGUUUUAUUAAUCGAAUUUAGAAAUUUCGGGGGUCAUAAUAAGA
rnacentral:lncRNA from 1 species